rnacentral:rRNA from 1 species
CCUACGGGUGGCAGCAGUGAGGAAUAUUGGUCAAUGGGCGCAAGCCUGAACCAGCCAAGUAGCGUGAGGGAAGACGGCCCUAUGGAUUGUAAACCUCUUUUGUGCGGGAGCAAAGGUCUCCACGUGUGGAUGUUUGCACGUACCCCAUGAAUAAGGACCGGCUAAUUCCGUGCCAGCAGCCGCGGUAAUCCGGAAGGUCCGGGCGUUAUCCGGAUUUAUUGGGUUUAAAGGGUGCGUAGGCCGGUCGUUAAGCGUGGCGGGAAAUUUGGGGGCCCAACCAUGUCACUGCGGUGGAAACUGGUGACCUUGAGUGAGCGGGAGGCAGGCGGAAUGCGUGGUGUAGCGGUGAAAUGCUUAGAUAUCACGAAGAACGCCGAUUGCGAAGGCAGCAUACCGGAGCGUAACUGACGCUGAAGCUCGAAAGCGUGGGUAUCGAACAGGAUUAGAUACCCCUGUAGUC